rnacentral:rRNA from 2 species
AACCCUUGUCCUUAGUUACCAGCACGUUAUGGUGGGCACUCUAAGGAGACUGCCGGUGACAAACCGGAGGAAGGUGGGGAUGACGUCAAGUCAUCAUGGCCCUUACGGCCUGGGCUACACACGUGCUACAAUGGUCGGUACAAAGGGUUGCCAAGCCGCGAGGUGGAGCUAAUCCCAUAAAACCGAUCGUAGUCCGGAUCGCAGUCUGCAACUCGACUGCGUGAAGUCGGAAUCGCUAGUAAUCGUGAAUCAGAAUGUCACGGUGAAUACGUUCCCGGGCCUU